AAAAAUCUAGUUAAAUUUAUAACAAAAGAAUGUCAUUCUUCAAUUACUUAAAAAGUGAUUUUUA
rnacentral:tRNA from 1 species